GUGAUGGGGUGAAACACUCCUGGCUUUGCCCUCUCGUGCAUGAACAUCUGUACUUCCAGCCAGCUGUUCAGAUUCCUUCCUCGUUAGCACUCAGUGCUGUGCAGUAUCUGCUAGGCACAAGGGGUGUUGUUGAUUUCAAAACCAAACUUUAUCUUGUCCCCUUACAAAGCAACCCUUCCUUCACAUGGAAGCAGUGAGACCACAAGUUGAGACUUCAGUGGGCAGGGCUGGUCAAAUGAAGGAGAGCUGCACCAGGCUGGGUUGUGUGGGGUUCAUGCUUAUCUCAGCCCUUCAACCACCAGCAGAUUCCCAACCAGCCCUCAAAAUCAUGUAGUCAACAACUGCUUUUGGUGGCAGCUCCUGGAAGCUUUAGAUGUUUUGCUACUAUCACCCACAAAACUAUUUUUUUUUUUAACAACGUGAAAUAAUUAAAUCUAUGUUUUGUUUUAGAGGAAAUCUUCUGUUGCUGAAAGAAAAGCAUUUAUCAGUAACGAGAUAAUCUUAGUUCAGAUGCUGUUCUUGUGAGGAAAAUAUUUAAACCUUUUCACCUCCAAACCUACUUUGGCCUCCCUACUUCCCCAUGGGUUUGGUUGUUCCCCCUUUAGCUUUAGUGGGAAAACACAGUGGGUGAUUCCCACUGGACCCGUGCACUUGGCAUCCCAUCUGAGGGUGUUCUAGAUAGAUGCAGUCACUUGGAAUACCAGCAUUACCUGUUCAACUAUAUAAAUACUCAUGUGAGUAUACUAGUCCUAUCAUGAGCAUCCUUGCAAAUUCUUGCCUUUGGUCUGCAGCACCUCUAAUGGAUCUUCAUGUCCCAAGGAGCCACUCACCAAAGGCUUACUGCAAAACCAGCUCUCAGACCAGCUGGGCCAUGUGUUGGAUGUUUGACUAGCACUCCAGCAAUUUAGAAUUGUGUGUAUUAAAAGGAAGGAAGUCCUCAUAAUUUCAAUUUCCUCUGCUUUAUCACACACAGGUAAAGCCACUUCACUCGCUUCCUUCCUCUUUUUGUAAACUCUACAGAUCUGUGUUUGGAAACCUCAGCUUAUUUUUAUGCUAACUGCACACACAUUUAACAUAAUAACUGUGUGUGCACCGUUCGACAAUGGUGAAAUGUGUGUGCAGCACACAGAGCACAGGCACAGAUUGUCAGUUCACCAGCAGAACAAGCGGUUCAGGAGACUGUAGACACAGAUUUCUAUGUGAGGAGAAGACAGCACCCGUCUGCUUCCAGGAGAUACCGUGAGGGUCACUGGUAAACACAGCUCUCCGCCUGAAACAGCCAGCAAGCCUGAGACCGACAGCACUUAGAGCAGUUGCUGCUCCGGCUUCCAUGGCGUGUGGUGGCAGCUUGCAGAACUUAGCGGCAUUGCAGCCUUCCUGGAGGAGACCUGGAAUGAACCAAGGGGUUUGGGGGGGGGGGGGGGGACAGGGCAUCUUUAUGGCAUACCCGGGUGAGGGGAGGAGGAACAUUCAACAUUGCAGUUCUACUUUAGGUAGGGCAAAGAGCUUUCCCUGUGCUGAGGCCAGGUCAGGUGCAUUUGCUGUUUCUUGAGAAAUAAACACUCCUUAUUUGUCUUAUUUGUAAAGCUGCAGUGUUGAUCCAAUCAGAAAUUUACUGGCAGCAUCCCACACAGCUGCUGGGGUUGGCAGGCAUCACUCUGCACCAAGAGAAAAAAGCAAUGCCUAAAAACAGAAGGCAAAAUCUCAAGAAGCACCAAAUGAUUUGGCCUGGCCAGUUUCUUUUUGAGUUAGGCAUUGCAGUAAGUGCCUGUUUCAGGUACCUUGCAGAAUGCAAAGCUGUUCGGUGACCUGAGAACAUCGAUAGCUGAUAGCUGCCUGGCUUGACCCUUCUGGCUGAACUGAGAUGGGGUUUGCACACACACUGCUGACACUGGGGGCUGGCAGUGCUUAGCUCCAUCAGGGGAUUCGAGGCAGAAGCUGUUGCCUGCUGUUUCGGUUCAAUAUCUGCAAGUUGAGAGAGGAGCCAGGGAGUGCUGGGGCUGGACACUGGAGGGUUUUCCAUCUCCAAAGCCCUUUCCCAUAUGGCAGCACUUGAAAGUCAGAGGAGUUAGAUGUGACCAGUGACAUUGGUGACAGAGGCUCAGUGGGGAAGAAGAGUAAACAGUAGGUAGAAAUGCACUGGGUGCUGAUCCAUCAUCUACUAACCCACUAAACCCCAUCCAACAGAUUUUCAGUCCGUUCUUUGCAAUGUAAAGGCUGCCCCGAAGGCCUUGCAGUGCUCUCUCAUCUGCUGUGAGCACUUUACAUCCUUGUGCUACAGUCCCUGUGAUAUCACGUGGGAUGCACAGUACCAAUCAAUUUAAUCUGCCAGGAAAAAAAGAAAAAACACCUCUACAGAUCUCUCAAUUCACAGCAAUUCCAGCCAGCAAUGGGGGAAGGAAAAAAGCUGAAGUGGAUAAACAGUGGGGAUUUCCUCAGGAUUUCAUCUAGAAUGGUUGCAGGCGAGCAACACAGAGGUGCUGAAAACAGCCUCCAAGCAGACAGUGGCUGCCAGGGUCAUCCUGUGUGUGGUGCUGCCCUUCCAGGCAGGAUCCUGGCAGCACACAAAGCCUGCAGCUCCUGUAGCUCUGCCCCAGCUCCCCCGCAGUCUUCCUAAGCCCUGACAUCUAAUCCUAAGGGUGGGGAGCGUGUCCUUGUUGGGGGCUGUGAACUCCUGCCUGAACACUUCACCUUGCCCCUCAGAUGGGCUCCUCACUCGAGCAGCAAAUGCCUGACAUCUCUCAGCCUACAAGGGACAGGCCAGCGGCUCUGAAAGCGCUUUGCUGGAAGCAGUGCAGAGGUCUCCAGCUUCAGGAGGGCAGUGCGUGUUAGACUUGCUUGCAGCAGUAACCUUAGAGGCAGCACAUGCAGCAGCCUGCACUGUAGAAGUAGCAGUGAAAUGGAAAGGUCCUGUGAACACAGGGAGGAGCUCAGAGGUGCCUCUGUUGCAGCAGCAGAGCAGUGCUGCUCCGCACAUACACGGCCAGGCACGGCUCACCACAGCUGGGUGCUGGCACAGGCUGGGGGUGGCCCACAACCUCGUGCCUCCCACAGCUGUCCAGGCACCAGCAGCUGGGUGCAGGCUGCCCUCGUUUCAGGGUGCUUGGAAGCCUCCCCAAGGCAGCCUCCAGCAGCACAUGUGUCUGUAUGCACAGCAGAGUCAGCCCGUUCCUCGUACGAACCACGAGCCAUCAGAGCAAAACCAAUAAACACUGAGCUCUUAGUGCCUCCUGCCUGCUGGAACUGCUGA